rnacentral:lncRNA from 1 species
AGUGGACGAAGAAAAUAAACAUAAAAGUUGUCCUUUAUCUAAGAAGGGAACGCAGUUCAGACAAGGAAGAGGAAGAGCAAAAGGUCAAGACACAAUAACAGUUACCCAAGCUGUAGGGCAACAAGGGUUAUCUACGGUGAAACCAACUGCAAGCCUGACACUCAAGUUUGACACGAGGAUCUUCAAGACCCCCUUGGCCUGUGCACUCCAGCAGCCAGGGAGCAGAUUUAUGGUGUUAGUGAAGGACAGCCCUCUCUGACAGCAAAAAGAUCUUCCUCACUUCCAGUGGGUGGUGGAACGAGCAUACUACCAAGGGCCAGUGAUUUGUGGAGGAUUGAUUUUGCACAACUGCAUCUAGAGGCCUUGGGAAACCUCCAGCCCUCUAGCCAUCUUGCCCAAAAUGUGCGGACC